rfam:Talaromyces marneffei PM1 scf034, whole genome shotgun sequence.
UCGCAUGAUGAUUAUCCUGAUAGGGACAUCUGAUAUGCAAAGCAUACGUGAUGUGAACAGGAAGAGUAUUUUAGUAGAUGCCUCUUAGAAUCUGAAG